rnacentral:tRNA from 1 species
UGUGUGCAGGUUCAAGUCCUGUUUUUCUAA